AUUGAACGCUGGCGGCAGGCCUAACACAUGCAAGUCGAACGAGUGGCGGACGGGUGAGUAAUGACUGGGCAACUGACUGAUGGAGGGGUAUAACUAAUGGAAACGGUUGCUGAUACCGCCUACCGUCGCAGGUGCCCGGAUGGGAUUAGCUAGUAGGUGGGGUAAAGGCUCACCUAGGCGACGAUCCCUAGCUGGUCUGAGAGGAUGAACAGCCACACUGGAACUGAGACACGGUCCAGACUCCUACGGUAGGCAGCAGUGGGGAAUAUUGCACAAUGGGGGCAAGCCUGAUGCAGCCAUGCCGCUUGUAUGAAGAAGGCCUUCGGGUUGUAAAGUACUUUCAGCGGGGAGGCGUUACCCGCAGAAGAAGCACCGGCUAACUCCGUGCCAGCAGCCGCGGUAAUAC
rnacentral:rRNA from 1 species